ACUCCUACGGGAGGCAGCAGUGGGGAAUAUUGGGACAAUGGGGGCACCCGUGCAUCCAGCCAUGCCGCGUGUGUGAAGAAGGCCUUCGGGUUGUAAAGCACUUUCAGUAGGGAGGAAAGGUUGUACGUUAAUACCGUGCAGCUGUGACGUUACCUACAGAAGAAGCACCGGCUAACUCCGUGCCAGCAGCCGCGGUAAUACGGAGGGUGCAAGCGUUAAUCGGAACUACUGGGCGUAAAGCGCGCGUAGGCGGUUAGGUCAGUCAG
rnacentral:rRNA from 1 species